rnacentral:rRNA from 1 species
CAGCCGCCGCGGUAAUACAGAGGGUGCGAGCGUUAAUCGGAUUUACUGGGCGUAAAGCGUGCGUAGGCGGCUUCUUAAGUCAGGGGUGAAAUCCCGAGGCUCAACCUCGGAACUGCCUUUGAUACUGGGGUCCUCGAGUCCGGAAGAGGUGAGUGGAACUGCGAGUGUAGAGGUGAAAUUCGUAGAUAUUCGCAAGAACACCGGUGGCGAAGGCGGCUCACUGGUCCGGAACUGACGCUGAGGCACGACAGCGUGGGGAGCAAACAGGAUUAGAUACCCCCGUAGUCCCUGUCUCUUAUAC